CGGACGGGUGAGUAAUGCUUGGGAAUCUGGCUUAUGAGGGGGGAUAACUACGGGAAACUGUAGCUAAUACCGCAUAAUAUCGAAAGAUUAAAGGGUGGGACUUUCGGGCCACCUGCCAUGAGAUGAGCCCAAGUGGGAUUAGGUAGUUGGUUAGGUAAAGGCUGACCAAGCCGACGAUCUCUAGCUGGUCUGAGAGGAUGACCAGCCACACUGGAACUGAGACACGGUCCAG
rnacentral:rRNA from 1 species